AGGCUGGAGGAUGUAAUCUGAUUAUUAGCAUUACCAAUUAAAUCUUUAUUUAUAUAUAACAGUAUGUCAUAAAUUAUACAUGCAAACAAGCUCAGAUUUCAACUUUUCAAGUUUUUUAUGCUGUUCAUUUGAAUUUAAAUAUAUUUCUCAUAAUUUGGUUCUUUCAUGCCUAGAGAUGAGUCAGUGCUGGGGAGAAUGGAAGUAAGACAAGGUGGUGACUUCUAACUCUGGAGCCUGAAGAGCCAUGCAUGCAUUCUUACUAUCCUAGCCUCAGCACCGGCUGGAGGUGGCAAGGGCAGGAGGGAUGUGUCUAAGAUACAGAGACAGGUGGCUUCAUAAGUCUCACCGUGGGUGGGGCUCGGGACGAUUUCUGUCUUGAUGAUUCAAAUAGUAAUGGGAGUUUGGAACAAUACUUUUUACCAUUUGUCCACUGGAUGUCACCGGUUUCCUAAAAGGCAGCUAUUGAUAAAUGAUUGGGACUAUGGUCUACUAAAAGCUGAAAUCAAAGUGAUUAAUUUUCAGUCACAGAUUAUAGGAACAUUUGUAAAGGGUGUAAGUGAUGGUGUUAAAAAGAAACCGUUGGGUUGAAAAUGGAGGAAUUUGUCAUAAUUAUGACUAUUACCUUUAUUUUUAAAAAAUGGGCAUUUUGUAACAUUCCUUCAGGAAGAAUGGAAGUGUGUAUGUUUUUCUGCAUGGUGUGAGCAUUGUGAGUCUUACAAGAUUACUGCAGUUUUCAGAGUAAAAGUCAAUCAACAUGUUAUUUAUCACUUAGGAAUUGAACACUGGAUUGUGCAUGGUUGAAUGUCUUUAGUCCACUGCAAAUGUGCUUGACAUUGAUAAGAUCAUGCUGAACUGUAUAUUUUCAGAAUUAGCUCAUGUGUUUUUAAAAUGUUGAGACCAAAGUAGUAUAGAAGAGUAUGACGUAUUUUAAUUUAAUUGUAAAAUUAUUAGAGGUAAUUGUUUUAAAACUAUAUUAAAGAAAAGCGUUGGUGCAUAUAGAACAGUACCGUUAUUGUUAUGCUCGUAUUUCUGCAUCCCAGGGUUAGGAAACCCUGAGGAACCCUUGUCUUAGUGUAGCUACUGUGGCUGCAGUUGCUCCAGAGGUCGCAUCAGCAUUCCGUGAUGGUUACAGCUUCCUGGUUUUAUGUUUCAGCUGUUGCAGAAUUUCAGCCAAGUUACUUUUUUUUUUUCUUAAGUUAUGUUGAAAAAGCUUUUUUUUUUCUUUUUCUUCAGUAACCCACAGUCUGUUCUUUGUGUGGGCCGGCACCUAUUUAUAACUCUUAAAAUAAAAACAACUUAAAGGAGCCAAAUACAUAGCUGUUCUUGGUACUGUUGCGCAUGAGUAGCAAUACUUUGCUUUCAUCGAUGCGAUUCUCCUAUCUCAGAAUUUUAAAUACUGACCAUAGGAAAGUCAGUGACAAGUGUACAGUAGUCUGCUUGUGUACUUAGGAAGGGGAUGAAUUCUAAUUAAUAUAUGGAUGAUUUGUGAAUAAAGCUAGGCAGUAAAUAUAUAAAGGGUGUUCGUUUGACUUGUAGCUUACAAAUGUAAAUUUCCCUUAGCCCCAGUUUUCCAUCUAUUUUCUUAUACAGUUCACAGUGAGUUGAGGCGACUUGGCGAUUCUUGGCCUUAGCCGUUGUUAGAUGCCCUGCAGAUGUACAACUCACCCAGGUCCCUUCCCGUGCAGCUGAUUUGUGACGCGUUUAUCCAUUGUCUGUAGAGGCUCGUCUGCACACCCAGGCUUCAGGGGUACCAGCUCAUGGACUUUCUGGUUAUGCUGGACUCUGUUUGCAAGUACUUUUAGUCUGAUGUGAUUCUAUUUCUCAGUACCUCUUUAUGGACUUAAGAGGUAUUUGGCAUUCCUUAUUAACAAAAUAAUUACAAUCUACUUUUUUUUUAAGCUCUGGCUGUCCUGGAACACUCUGUAAACCAUGCUAGCUUCCUUUUGUUUUCCCAUUUUUGUUUUCCAAAAUAAAACCUACUAGUAAUUCAAUUGUAAAAUCUUAGUGUUUUCUCCUUCUGUCCCCUUUACCUUUAAAAAAACCUAUAAAGGUUCUUAUUUGAAGAGCAUGUUUAAGUGUUGCCGAUGUGAGCGCACUGUGAGGGUGAGUCUGGCUUGUUAGAUGGGGCUCCUUUGCCUUUACUGUACUGCUAUACUACAUGGAUGUAGUCCUGUUCUUUAGGGUCUCGCUUUUUAAGAUCAUCUUCCUGUUGUAAAAGUUUAAGGCAUUUUGCUCAAGUACUUUGUUUACAGUUAAAAUGAAUAGAAUUUAAUAGAAAAUACGGUUAUGGCUUACCUGGAAAGCGUCAGCAUGACUUGGCAUAGACGUAAAAGAGUACAUGUGAUUAUACUGUGGAAUGAUACUGAUAAGGACUCUCGUAAUUGUACCUCCUGAAUAAGUCUGUGCAUUUUCUAACUUACAGUUCAUUGUCUGUUCUAGCAACAAUCUCAUUUUGUAGUUUUUAUUCUCCAAAACUUAUGAGUAAUGUUUCCUCAAAGGUUGUUGAAAUAAUAAUAGUUACAUAAUGGGGGAAAGUCAUUUGAUUAUUAAUUUUCAAGAAGUUUUAAACUAAUUUGUAACUGGACAUGGUUUUUAAAAAUAUUGGCAAAGAUUUGAUACACUUGUACUCUUUAGUUUGAGAAAAUUAUUUGGAAUGUGAAACAGUGCUUUUUCAAAUAGAUGAAUCAUUUAGCAAUUAAAUUCUGAUUCUAAGGCUUAUUUAAAAUGUAUUUGUAUGAGUCGUGCUUGUCCUUUGCAUUUGACAAAAUUGAUACAAUUACAAAUCGAUGUAUUUCUGAACGCCGUGUGUAAAACAACCUUUACAUAGAGUAAAAACCAAAAUCCGUGGUGGUUCCUGACAUGAAACUUCAGAUGUCUGUAUUUUGUUUGCCUUUCGUAAAAUAUAAGUAAAGAAAACUUUCUCUUC
rnacentral:lncRNA from 1 species